AUAUCAGUCAUGCAUAGUAUAUCAAUAAGCGGAGGAAAAGCCGACUACCUACGCUUAGGAUGUUGACACACGCGCGUGCUCGACUCUAUACAUGACUCUGUGCAUAUCAAUAAGCGGAGGAAAAGAAACUAACAAGGAUUCCCCUAGUAACGGCGAGUGAAGCGGGAAGAGCUCAAAUUUGAAAUCUUAAAGGGUUUCCCUUUACGAAUUGUAGUUUAAAGAAGUGUUUUCUGUUGAGGUUUUGGUAAAAGUUCUUUGGAAUAGGACAUCAUAGAGGGUGAGAAUCCCGUAUUUGACCUUUACUUUUCAACUUUGUGAUACACUUUCAAAGAGUCGGAUUGUUUGGGAAUGCAGUCCAAAUAUGGGUGGUAAAUUUCAUCUAAAGCUAAAUAUUGGCGAGAGACCGAUAGCGAACAAGUACCGUGAGGGAAAGAUGAAAAGAACUUUGAAAAGAGAGUUAAACAGUACGUGAAAUUGUCAGAAGGGAAGCGUUUGACACCAGUGUUGUUUUUCUGAAAAUCAAUUAAAGAACUGUUUAUGCUAAGUUGUUUAGACUUUAUCAGCUAACUGUUUAGUUUUGAGCUUUUCUUUAAUGCACUUUUCAGUUAACAAGUCAACAUCAAUUUCUUUUGCUGUAAAAAAGCUUGAGGAAGGUGGCUUGAGAUUCGUCUUAAGUGUUUAUAGCCUCUUGCCUAUGCAGUCGGAGAGAUUGAGGUCUGCAGCGUAGAUCCUUCGGGGCUAAAUGCAUUUGUGCUAAGUUAUAGCAUUUUAUAGACAACUUGUUGACUAUGAUUUGUCUUGUAGCUUACUCGCUUAUGUUAUUUUACCUACGCUUAGGAUGUUGACGCGCGUGUGUGCGUG
rnacentral:rRNA from 1 species